ACCUGAUCCAUUCCAUUCCGCGUGAGUGAAGAAGGCCUUCGGGUUGUAAAGCUCUUUCGCAAGGGAAGAAACGAUACAGUCUAAUAAACUGUGUUAAUGACGGUACCUUGAUAAGAAGCACCGGCUAACUACGUGCCAGCAGCCGCGGUAAUACGUAGGGUGCGAGCGUUAAUCGGAAUUACUGGGCGUAAAGCGUGCGCAGGCGGUUUUGAAAGUCAGAUGUGAAAUCCCCGGGCUCAACCUGGGAACUGCGUUUGAAACUCCAAAGCUAGAGUAUGGGAGAGGGGGGUAGAAUUCCACGUGUAGCAGUGAAAUGCGUAGAGAUGUGGAGGAAUACCAAUGGCGAAGGCAGACCCCUGACUUAAUACUGACGCUCAUGCACCGAAAGCGUGGGGAGCAAACAGGAUUAGAUACCCUGGUAGUCCACGCCCUAAACGAUGUCUACUAAUUGUUGGGAGAGUAAAAUCUCUUAGUAACGCAGCUAACGCGUGAAGUAGAACGCCUGGGGAGUACGGUCGCAAGAUUAAAACUCAGAGGAAUUGACGGGGGACCGAAAAGCGGUGGAUCUGUGGAUUAUUCGAUGCACGCGAA
rnacentral:rRNA from 1 species